AUUGAACGCUGGCGGCAGGCCUAACACAUGCACGUCGAACGAGUGGCGGACGGGUGUGUAAUGUCUGGGAAACUGCCCGAUGGAGGGGGAUAACUACUGGAAACGGUAGCUAAUACCGCAUACCAUCGGCUGUGCCCAGAGGGGAUUGGCUAGUAGGUGGGGUAACGGCUCACCAGGGCGACGAUCCGUAGCUGGUUUGAGAUGACGACAAACCACACUGGGACUGAGACAGGGCCCAGAGUCCUACGGGAGGCAGCAGUGGGGAAUUUUGAACAAUGGGGGAAACCCUGAGCCAGCCAUCCCGCGUGUGGGUGGAAGGCCUACGGGUUGAAAAGCACUUUAGGCAGGGAAGCGGUACCUGCAGAAUAAGCACCGGCUAACUACGUGCCAGCAGCCGCGGUAAUAC
rnacentral:rRNA from 1 species